AUUGAACGCUGGCGGCAGGCCUAACACAUGCAAGUCGAGCGAGAGGCGGAAGGGAUAGUAAUGUAUGGGGAUCUGACUGGUGGAGGGCGAUAACUAAGGGUAACGGUAGCUAAUUCCGCCUUCCGUCAGCUGUAUCCCUAUGGGAUUAGCUUGUAGGUACGGCAAAGGCUUACCUAGGCGACGAUCCCUAGCUGGUCUGAGAGGAUGAUCAGCCACACUGGGACUGAGACACGGCCCAGACUCCUACGGGAGGCAGCAGUGGGGAAUAUUGCACAAUGGGCGCAAGCCUGAUGCAGCCAUGCCGCGUGUAUGAAGAAGGCCUUCGGGUUGUAAAGUACUUUCAGGCGGGAAGCGUUACCGACAGAAGAAGCACCGGCUAACUCCGUGCCAGCAGCCGCGGUAAUUC
rnacentral:rRNA from 1 species